UGUUAGUGGCUUGCAAGGCAGAGCAGACAGAUGGACGUGCUCGGGAAGCCUAUUGAUCAGCCCUUGGUGUGACCUGCCCAGACCUGGUUCUGUUUCAAGCACUGAUCACGUGGACAAGGAGUCCUUAAUUCCUCUCAGCACCAUUUGAGAUGAGCAACUACACAAGACAAAGACGAAAGGCUUUUUCAGCUCAAAAAUCCUGUGAUUCUUUGAUUCUAAGAAGAGAUUUUCUUACAAGGAGUUUGCCUAAGUGUCCACACGGCUUGUGUCUCCUCCCAGCAGCCGGCCUGCUGGUGUGUGUGCUGUGUGUGGAGAGUGGCCUUAGGCCUGUGUUGUGAGUGAUGUCUGCAGAGCAUGGGGUUGAUUUGGAAGAAGGUGUGAUCCGAAGUUGUGUUUGACCUGAGCUCCUGUCACCCCUGAAGGCAGCAGAGGAUCUCCUGUCAGUGACCCAGGAGGACAGCUUUCUGAAGGACAUUCUGCCCAUUGCACAGAGGGGCUUUUGUGAUUGGUUUGCCCAGAUGUGACUUUUUCCCCUACCUUUGAAGGCCUAGAUUGGGUUUCCCAUUUCUUGGCCCUUUGGAAAGGCCAAUGGCUCCCUGUCUGACAGGCUGCCCUGAGCAGCAGGUGCUCCAUUUAGACCCAGGCUGCCCCAAUCCCAGCUCUGAUCUGACUCUCAGCUCUGAGGCUCCAUUGAGUCCCUGGGCCUCAGGGACCCUGUUCAGGCUUUGCUGAUGGUGGCAUCAAGUGACCUCCGAGCCACCUCCACGUUGGCUCAGACUGAGGAAACUGGUGAUCUUGUCUUGCUGUUUGCAAUACUUGAAGACAAAAACAGAACUUGUGCUGCAUUCUCAAGAAAGAAGAGACAACUGUUCCUGUACCUCACUCUUGUAGAUAUCUGUAUGAAGAAGCAGUGAUGGGUGCAUGCAAGCUAGGGAGCAUCAAGGCUCCCACUGCGUGGGCGCCAGCUGACCCCUGACCUCGUUUUCAUCUGUUGCUCUGGUCAUGGCUCUGAGAUCUGGGCAACCUGAGCCAGCUUGUGCAUUCCUUACCCUUGUGCUUUUGCACUAUCCAUCCCUGUCCCCUAGAACUCCCUCCAGUACAGUC
rnacentral:lncRNA from 1 species